GAUGAACGCUGACAGAAUGCUUAACACAUGCAAGUCGAUGGGGAAGUGGUGCUUGCACCAUGGUAACCAUGGCGGACGGGUGAGUAACGCGUAAGGAACUUGCCUGCGGGACUGGGAUAACAGCAGGAAACUGCUGAUAAUACCGGAUAAGGUCAUUAAGCUGCAUAGCUUAGUGAUGAAAGGAGACGCCUGCGGAGAGCCUUGCGUCCUAUUAGCUAGUUGGAGGGGUAACGGCCCACCAAGGCGAAGAUAGGUAGCCGGCCUGAGAGGGUGGACGGCCACAAGGGGACUGAGAUAUGGCCCGUACUCCUACGGGAGGCAGCAGUGGGGAAUAUUGGACAAUGGGGGCAACCCUGAUCCAGCAAUUCUGUGUGAACGAAGACGGUUUUCGGAUUGUAAAGUGCUUUCAGCAGGGAAGAAGGAAGUGACGGUACCUGCAGAAGAAGCGACGGCUAAAUACGU
rnacentral:rRNA from 1 species